AGCGAACGCUGGCGGCAGGCCUAACACAUGCAAGUCGAACGAAAACUUCGGGCUUAGGGGCGGACGGGGGAGUACCACGGGGGAACGAGCCUUUGGGUUCGGAAUACCUCAGGGUAAGUUAUGCUAAUACCGAUGGUGCUCUUCGGGGGUAAGAUCUAUCGCUAUUUGAGCGGCCCGCGUCUGAUUAGCUGGUUGGGGAGGUAAUGGCUCAUCAAGGGGUCGAUGAGUAGCUGGUCGGAGAGGAUGACCAGCCACACUGGGACUGAGACACGGCCCAGACUCCUACGCGAGGGAGCAGUGGGGAGUCUUGCGGAAUGAGCGAAAGCCUGGCGCAGCCAUGCCGCGUGAAUGGUGAAGGUCUUAGGAUUGUACAAUUCUUUCAGCGGGGACGAUAAUGACGGUACCGGGAGAAGAAGCCCCGGCUAACUUCGUG
rnacentral:rRNA from 1 species